GUUCUAUGAGUGGGGGCUGUGAGUGGGGGCACUCUGAGUGUGGGCUAUGAGUGGGGGCACUCUGAGUGUAGGUUAUGAGUGAGUUCUAUGAGUGUGGGCUGUGAGUGGAGGCACUCUGAGUGUGGGCUAUGAGUGAGUUCUAUGAGUGUGGACUGUGGUUGGGGGCACUCUGAGUAUGGUCUAUGAGUGAGUUCUAUGAGUGUGGGCACUCUGAGUGUGGGCUGUGAGUGUGGUCUAUGAGUGUGGUCUGAGUGUGGGCUCUGAGUGUGGACACUCUGAGUGUAGGCUAUGAGUGAGUGCUAUGAGUGUGGGCUGUGAGUGGGGGCACUCAGAGUGUGGG